rnacentral:SRP_RNA from 1 species
GGCACGUGGGUGCCAAGUAGUCCCAGCUACUCGGGAGGGUGAGGUGGGAGGAUUGCUUGAGUCCAGGAGUUCUGUGCUGUAGUGUGCUAUGCUGAUCGGGUGUCUGCACUAAGUUCAGCAUCAAUAUGGUGACCUCCCAGGAACAGGGGGCCACCAGGUUGCCUAAGGAGGCGUGAAAUGGCUCAGGUUGGAAACAGAGCAUGUCAAAACCCCCUACAUAUAGUCAGGAGUGGAGCCUGAUUGAAACCAAGAUUCAAAUGCUAGUUCUCUUCCCACCUCCU